rnacentral:misc_RNA from 1 species
GAACUGCGAUAAGUAAUGUGAAUUGCAGAAUUCAGUGAAUCAUCGAGUCUUUGAACGCACAUUGCGCCCCUGGCAUUCCGGGGGGCAUGCCUGUCCGAGCGUCAUUGCUGCCCUUCAAGCCCGGCUUGUGUGUUGGGUCGUCGUCCCCUCCGGGGGACGGGCCCGAAAGGCAGCGGCGGCACCGCGUCCGGUCCUCGAGCGUAUAGGGCUUUGUCACCCGCUCGAUAAGGACCGGCCGGGCGCCAGCCGGCGUCUCCAACCUUUUUUUCUCAGGUUGACCUCGGAUCAGGUAGGGAUACCCGCUGAACUUAAGC